ensembl:lncRNA
AUAUAUAUAUAUGUAAAUAAUGAAAAUAUGUAAAUAGUGCAAAAAAAGACAAAUCUAUUAAGUUCCCGAAACUGUUUUUUAAACAACACAUGCAGAAAAUCGGCAGCGCUUGAUAUUGCAGGACUUUUUUAUUAUGAUUUCCAAAAUACACCCUGAAUAUAGACUUUGAACAGAUGUGGCAGUCCAUCAGCUGGAAGCCCGUUACUUGUAUUAUAUAUUUAGACUAACUCACGGUGGCCUUUGAGUGUCUGCUGUGCGUUUUCAGUCAGCAAGUUUGGCUUAAGCUCAAUUAAAAGCUCAGCUCAGACGCACAAGGAAAUUGCACAUUUUCUUUACCAUGGCAACCGAGGUGCUGCUACCCGGGAGACCGUCCAUUGUGUAGCUUGUCCUGUAUAAAUAACAUAUAGGAAUAAAAAGCAGCACCAUAUGGGACAUGUGGGCCGACGCAGUUGUCAUCCUCUCUUGGCGUCAUCCCGCCUGAAACGGACAUCGUGCCUAGUUAUCUCUUCAAAAUAAAUCACCCAGUAACGUUAAGCUGAAGGUUUUGGGAAGUUCUAUUGUUCACAGCUUAUUUAUUGCUGCCACGCCUUUGAAGCGCUCCCACAUGUCGUUUUAUACAAUAAUGGGGAAAGAUUUACCACUCACAUUUUCUUUUGUGAUUUCUUAAACAAAGGAGAUUAUUUAAGACAAAAGCAGGCUCCUCUUUGUUAAGCUGCGGUCGUCAAUUUUUGUCAGAUUUUGUUAAUUGUUGCUGACAUUUUAAGAUGAGUUUGUCCAUCGUACUCUGAAUGGCACCAUGCUGAAUGGACAUCAUGCUGUAUUGAAGAAGAGUUUAAACCGAGACCUUGAACUCAAGUCAACAAUGUUUACUGAGAAGUAGGAUCAUAGACUUCCAUGCAAACUGAAAAAUGGGAAUUAAUAAUGCAAUUUUACCAAUUCAACAAUAGUUUUGUUUGUUUUUAAAACUAUUCUGCAAGUCACUGGAGAGUAAAACCAAACUACUUUCCCUGUCGGAAAAAUAUAAUCCUACAAGGUGACCAAACCCACCAAAAAUGUAAAUGUUUCUUCAAAUAUUUGCAACUUGCCUGCUGCUCCUGUUGCAUCAAUGGUGAAGAGAAGCAGCAGCAGAUACAUGGAGGUGAGAUUUUAUUGGAACUAAAUUAACUAACGCCACAUUAAUACCACUAAUCAACACCGACACCAAUUCACGUGAACUGUCUCUUCCUUUCCACGUUUGGCUAUACAUAUUUUUAGUAGCCUAUUACAUCUAAAAAUGACACUAAAUGAGGUUAAUGUUUUAUGUGUCACGAUGGAUUUUUAUGCCCUUGAGGCAGUUUUAAUGUUGACCAUCAGUUCUGAUUCUUCUAAAGGAAAAUACAGAUGACGUGUCGGUCGAGGCUGAAAACAAAAUAAGGCUUUUGUGUUGAAAUGUUGAAUGCAGGAAAAGGGUCAAAUAGUUGUUAUGUAUUAUUUAUAUGGUUUGUUUUUUAGUGUAUUUGAUGGCAAUCUCUUUACAAUCUAAUGCAAUAAAUAGCCUUUCCGCCCCCGGGAAGCUUCUAUUGUUUGCUCUAAAUGUUUUUGUCCUAAGUUAUCAGACCAUGGUUGCGUUACUGUUGUGUUGGACACCAUGAAGAGCUCAUACUGUCAAUAUUUAGUGUCUGGAUGCAGCUAAACUGACUCAUCUGCUGCUCGAGACGCACACAGGAUUUGUUGCAAAAUACCAAACCAGCUCACCGCUACCGAAACUAUUCCAGCAGCUAUAAAAGCCAGAAAAUGAUCAACAGAGGAGGUAUGUGUCACGUCAGGGCUGUGCAGAGCGACUCCAUCGAUAUGACAUUUGCAGCCAUUCUCAUCUUGUCCACAACAUGCAGCGACUUUAGGAGGUCACUGAAGCGAUGUGGCCUCUCUUAUCACCGCCGAUACUGGCUGACCGUUACUCUCUGAUGCUCUCUGGGAAAACAGUCUGCAGCCUUCCUCCGAACGGAGCGGAAAAAAUUACAGGCGAAGCAAGCCGGAGAGAGUAUAAAUUGAAUGGAAGUGCGCUCUGAUUGAAUGUGCCCGUCCCAAUUACGUCGUACCUCUCAGGCAUUCGUGUUCUCAUUAUAUCACCUUCCCAUCACAGCGUGUUUUUUUUUUCAUCAAGGCAAGCGAGUCGAGUGCUGCGGUGAACCCUUGAAUUUCAUUAUGGGGGCUCACCAAGUUUCCAGCCUGUUGUGUAAUUUGCAAAUGGAAAUGUGGAAGUCAGGUACAGGAGAGUUUCUGCUCUUUAACAAGCGUUUUGUGUUACACUGCACAGCAGGGGCCACUAGUUCUCUCAGGCAUUGUUUCUGCCUAUAGACAACCGAAAUACUCACGUCCUACAUUAUCUAACAUGGUGGGAUCUCCUUAGCAACAUGGUUUACAAAAAUCAUCACUAACCAGAGGUUAUUAAAUAUAAUUUAAUUCUCUCUUUGCUUUGUUUUCGUAUAUUUUUUCGCCUUUUUAAGCCAUGAUUUUGACACUUUGCCGGUAUCUUGCUCAGGGACACUGCGACAUGGGACACCUUCUCUACUCCAUGCGCCACCGUCGCCAUCUGAGGCAGGACAGGACGACGAGGCGGUCCAUUGUCAUUGGAAGUGUCCAAACACAUUCGAUGACACCUGCCUUUUAUUUUGAAAAUACCUUUUCAAUCUGCAGAUCCUUAAAAAUGUAAGGUGAGGCUGUGAGUUUUAGCUUAAAGACAAUCAAAGGAACUCCCUCCUUUGUUUUUGCACUGAAAAGUGUUUUUAAUCGAUGUCAUUAUGUAACAGGGUCAUUUAUUUAAUGCUGAAUAAUUUGCAGUCGUCACGUUGCCAUGACGGCUGGUUGACCACAGUCUCAACCUGUCAGCACUGCUGUUGUUAUUUGUGGGGUUUAUUUUACAGUCGCAGUAUUUCAAAGGAAAAGCCUUAAAUAUUUGAAUUCCUUGAACAUCUCAUGCAUUAUGAUUUUAAGUUUUAUUAUGAAUUGCAUAUUUUGCUGGCUCGAGAAACUUGUUCUUUUCCCCAACACAAUUUUUUUCAUAUUUUCUUCCAGUGGGAGCAUCAUCAGCAUUUACUUAGAGUCGGGUUUCUCUCCGACGUUCACUCUCCUUUUAGUUCUGUUCCUCUUUGAAUUGUUGGGGAAAGAAUCUCUUCUUCUCUCCCCAGCUGGUCGCUAACUUGCUUCCCGUUGUCUGUGGACAGACUUUGUCACAAUGAUGGCUUCACUGUUUCCGAUGCAGAGACAUCCUUUAGUUUCCCUGCGUGAGUGUUUGUCAGCGAUAGCUCCUCGAAAUGUGUUUAUCUAAGACAAUUUUGCAACAACAUCUGUGCUUUAACAUGUAGUUAAAGUAUCUGGCUUCUGGCUAAAUGAUCACUAGGACUUUUAUAAAUACUGAAUGUAGUUUCUAGGGAUUCAUCACUGAAACGACCAAAAAAUCAGGCUGAAAAAAUCCUUUCAAUUAGUAUUUAUGAAACAAAUACAAAUUAUUACCAUUGUUACCGAAUUCCAACGCUGUGACGUUUCGCUCCGCUGUCAAAAAAAGGCCACAGAAGACCAGCCGGCUUCACACGUAAAGCAGAUCACAAUGAUCCUUCUGAUUGUGUCUUGCGUUACACAAAUGCGUGAAAUGACCAUAACGGGGAUUGAAUUAGACUUGGCGUUUUGGGACAUUUUGGGGUUCCAAUGGAACGGAAAACUGUCGGAAAACCGAACGGCGGCCCUCGAAAACUUUGCAUUAAAUCUGAUUGGACACCGGAAAUUGUUGGAUGAAGAUGAAAGACAAAGAAAUUAUAUAAUAAAAGAUGAGAUUCUGGUGAUAUUUAUAGAAUGCAUAUGGAAGGCGUCGGACGGGAAUAAAUGGGUCAACAAAACAUUUUGUCUGUGUUCCCUUUAUCUAACAGAAAAGGUAAUGCUGGUUUCUUUUAACGGAAUAUUAUAACCACAGAGGAACUAAAAAAAAAGCUCUUAUUUCAACCCCAAACCUUCCCGAUAGCUUUUUGAUGUUAGCAAAAUCAACUAUUUUUUAACAGUGAUGUAAAACUGUUCGGGAACUAGUGAUGUUGCUCCCUGAAUCCACUUGUUCAGUCUAAAAGGGAAAAGCCAUUUAUAGGAGAAUGUAUGAGGAGUUGUUCCAUGAGAAUUACCUUUUUAAAAGGGCUCCAGGUAUCCGGAUUGAUAUUCACAGAAGCACUUCGAAUAACAGGACUCAACCUUACAGUCCAAUGUCCAAGGGAACCUUUGUCCACAUUAGAUAUACAAUUGUUGUCAAUAAAAACUACCUCAGGGUUUCUGGGAUGUUCUUACAGUGACAACAUUUAAGGCCAGAAAGAAAAAUAUCUGUCUACUAAAUCACUUGUAUUUUUUCAUUUACCAGCAAUUUGAAGAAUGUCACCUCGUAACCCUCUGAACAGAAAUUGCGUUUGUUUUUUGACAAAAAAUGACAAAAAGGAAAGAGCAAUAAUGUGUAAUGGCUGGAACGUUUGUUUGGGUUUCAAUUUAUUUUCAAUUUCUUUGUUUCAUGUUUAUAGUCAAACCAAAUCAGCAUCCUUUUUGUUAUCUGGGCUUAAACACCCCACUGAUUGUAAUUGUGCUUUAGAGCUCAAAUGACUGACAUUUUCAUUUCCUAGUCACACUUGAUGAGAUUUGUUUAGCGUCUGUUAAUAAAGUCACACUUAUAUAUUAAUUAAAUUAAAGAUAUAACCGGCAGUUGUUAUGGAAUAAAAAAAAGGCAGUUUGUCCUUUUUGGUUCAGGUUUAUAUCCUGCUACAUUAAAAUAAAUGCAUGGUGAUGAAGUGAGCUGCUGCAAUUGUCCAAAACAAAGCCUGCAGGGCUGCGCGUGAGCCGUCGUUCCCUCGCAGUGGUUCUGCUGCAUCUUUUACCAAGCGAGGACGCCAACGGAGCCUUAUCUCAAAUUGCUUAUUGACUCACGUUGCAUCAGUUCUAACCAUUUCAGGCGAAGCUCACCGAUCUGCAGGGACGACGUCUCAUUUAGCUCAAAUAGUAGCUUUCCUCCCACAAGAGGACAUUAGUGUGGAUGUUAAGUCUCUCAUAGCCAAACAAGUGUGGGGGGAAGGGAAUGUUAAUUAAUGGAGUGAGUAAGCCACCUCGGUCCCCCGUUAAUUCCAAUAAGACAAAGCAGUCAAGGGAGAAGAGUAACACAGCUGGUGUCACGGACGCGCCGAGGAGGGAGUUUCAGCCUCGCGCCCUGAGGGACGCCGCUGUUUACCCAACACAGCGAGUGGUUACAUGCAAUCACCUCGCAGUGGCAUUUUUAUCUGUGAUAUGACACUCAAUGUCAGUAAGUACGUAAUAAAUCCUUGUUUUCAUACCUGUAACGGUAUUUUAAACUCGCUGAUUUCAUAGAAGUCAAUUUGGGUUUUUGUCAACGUGUCCCAGAUGACAAUGCGUACACAAGUUGUGUUAUUGCUGUGCGAGCACGACUUCCCCCUUAACGGAAAUACCAGCAUGAACCACCAGAUUACAUACGUUAUUUCUUAAUAUUUAGAAUUCAAUAAAAGUGUGUUUACUACAUCAGCUACACCUUCAUUUUGGAUGAAAAUAAAAGGAAAGUAAGGUUUAGUUGAUUAGGGUUCAGUUAAGAGGCUGAAACAAACGUGCAGAAUAUGACUUUCUAGUCUUAAAUCUCUGUGCUCAGUUCAUAGCAGCUAAAAGGGACAACUCAUUCUUUUCAUUAAUUUAUUUUCUUAUCGUUCCACCACCCGCUUUCGGUCCCGGGCACUCAAUCACCCACAAGGCUCGACCGAGCUGCCGAGGUCCUUGGAAGGGCAACAAUAGAUUUAAAAGUCACCGCUAAAGGGCUGGAAUUCAUUAGAAUACCUGUCGUUCUGUCGGUCUGCGUUCAUGGACGCAUUCCUCAGUUUGAGGUCGUAGUUUAGUCCUCGCGGGCCUGUUGCUGCUCGUUAGUCCUGAAGAUCAGCAUCUACUUUCAUUAAGAGACCUCGUAAGACACAACCACUCAGUGUGCAGUCUUAAAUAUGCAGCAAAUAGCGGCUGACGUAUUAUAAAUCAUUUCCACCCAAGCAGUCCGGAAUGCAGGACUCUGUGAUAUGAUGAUGCAGAACGGCACGAGAACUGACGGUGAGAAGUCACGCGUUGCUUUAUUACGGGGGUCCCGGAAGCCUUAAGCUAUCUACAAAAUACUAUUUCAGAGCUGGAGCUCAUUAUUUGCACUUAUUUGCAUUAUUAUUUGUCUCUCACAGAUAUGAUGUGUUUUUGAAAAGAGAAUGUGAACAUAUAAAGCCCAUGAUCCUCUUGUGCCACUAGUCGCCCUGCAAACAAAAGCCAUUUGGGGUUGUCGUGGCGCAGGGGGUAGAGCGGGUGCGCUGGGAACUGCAAGUUUGGUGGUUCGAGUCCCAGCUGCCCCAUGUCUCAAGUUGAAGUGUCCCUGAGCAAGACACCUAACGUGUCUUGCUCAGGGACACGCUCAGGGACACAGGGACACAUCCUGGGUUUAACGUGUAAUGUAAGUCGCUUUGGAUAAAGGCGUCUGCUAAAUUACCUGUAAUGUCAUUUGAUUGUUUUAUUGGGAGGAUGGAAAGCAGUGAAGUGUGUAUUGAUGGUCAAUCGCCUUAUAAGUAUUCGUUCCUGUUUUCACAAUGGGAAGGGUUAAGAAAUACAGUAUCAGUCAGUCAGAGAAACAAUGGCACACACUCACUUCUCUGUGUUGCAAAUGAACCGAUAACUUUCCUUUUAGCCGCGUUCAGCGGUGCAUAGUGAAACCGUCUCCUCAACCCGGAACAGUUCAGUGGACUGAACAUACAGCUUGUAGAGCCGGUGCACAAGAGCAGCACAUGAAAUAUGAAUCAAGAAAGGACACAUCUACAUGUGUUUUGUCUUUAAAAAAUAAAUAAAAAAAACCUUCCUACUUUGAUGGAUUUGAGACCUCAUAAAUAAAUGGGGAGCCUUCUGCACUUAACUUCUUCCACGCAAAUUGUGUCUUAAUAAAUGAAAGUAAUCUCGUUCAGAUGGAGUGGAAAGCUUGAGAGAUUCCAGCACAGCGCUAAAUAUUUCAUUCAGGUCUCCAGCGUUAGCAUGCAGCAACUAAUGAUGAACCGGGCCGCCUCGCAGCCUCUCACAAGGCCGCCCCACCCCCGCCAAAAUAAGAGAGCCAAUUCGCUCGCUGUGGGCCUGCGGGGACUGACGGGAGAGCAACACUAUGCGGCCCGAUAGCACAGCCGGCCUCUGAUGUUCUGCUCCCUGCUUUUAUUAUUUAAAAAUGACAUAUGAUGUGCAUUCAGACACAGUAGAAGUAUUCUCUAAAAAGCUUGCAGCUUGGAAAAAAUGAAAAAUAAAUACCUGUGGACGGGUGAAUUAAAGCUCUUGAGUUUCUUAUCCUGUCUUUUCUUAAGGUUGAAGAUACAUACACAAUGUGUAAAGGGUGUAAAGGAGAACAAUCUACAAUUUACAACCAGCCUUUGUCAUGUUGACCGGCCUCGGGCCUUCGUUUCAACCAGAAGUGAUGCGACCAUUCUGGUCCCGAGAAGCGUCUUGUGUGACUGUUUUGUCUCGAGGCUCCCGAGCGUCCUCUUGCUUGUGAGUUUUUACAUUCUUUUUUUUUUGUCCCUCUUUAAUCUGCCUGCAACCCUCAGGACUACAAACGAUAAUCGGCGUCUCGCGGU